CCACCUGUGACAUCAAGAUCAAGAUGGAGUGAGUGAACAGACACCCUAUGGAGUUAUUCGUGUGCGGUGAGAGACUUACACGUUGUUAUUUGCAUGCGUGACUAACUCUACAGCUGUGUCACUGUGCUCCUGUGUGCUGUGUUACGUCUACGUCUUGAGGUGACGGUCAGGGAUUAGCACAUCUCACAUCUGAGGGUGGACGUGCCGCUCUCUUCCCUAACUGAACUUCUGCCUAUUAUUAUUGGUGUUGUGUCUCGCCAUGCCACCCAAGCUUUCAAAAUACCCUGGUCCUGCUGGCCACUCGUCGAGAACUCCAAAGCAAGAUGGCAUUAUCCCGAAAACAAAAGGACUGGUUGGUACUCGAUCCCAGAGGAGGGGACCCCCGAUCAGCUGAUCAUGGUGGCACGCGGGUAUCAAGCUAUCAACUCGGACUGAUGGUCAACCUGCGGGUGAUUUUGACAUGCGGCAGCUUGGGGUCGCCCGCAGGGUCCUCCGCUCCAAGGGAAUGACCAGGACAUGCGCCUCCCCCCGCCAGGCAUGGGGGGGGGGAGGUGGUGGAGGUGGAGCGCUGUCACACCAUGAUAACAGGUUUCCCCAUGACCUGCGUGCCGAUUUCGUUGACCAGCGGGGCAUACAGUGCUUCUGAGAGCCCCCGCCCCAGCCCCGAGACCUGCGGGGUGACCCACUGGACUUGAGGUCCUGGUGGCACUCGACCCGAGCUACUGGUACUGCCAGAACCCCCUGGCUGGCGGAUGAGAUCUUCCUGAUGGAUGUGGCGGCCAACUUCCUGACUGUGAGGAUCGGGGAGUGCAAGAAGCGGCCAGAGGUUUUCAAGGACACGACCGACCCAAACCAGAAAUCCCAUUGCUCGAUUAUGUGAUGUGUUGUGAUUGUGAAUAUGUCUUGAGUUUGCUGGUGAAGGUUUCCAUGGCAAAUAGGAUCAUACUGAAAAGAUAUUAGCCGGGGGUCUUCAAGGACACGACCGACCCAAACCAGAAAUCCUAGUACUCAAUUAUGUGGUUAUUGUGAAUAUGUCUUGACUUUGCUGGUGAAGGUUUCCAUGGUGAACAGGAUCAUACUGAAAGGAUAUUAGCAUGGAAAGAUAUUGUUGUGCUGUGUUCGUGGGAGUCCCGUAAACAAACAUGUGGGUACAGCUAUUACUGGACGCAAAAUGUUAUUGUAAAGCCUGCUGGAUACAUUUGACAAGCAUAGAAAACCACCUAAAAAUUAUAAGUUAAAACUCUGUCAUCACUUGCAGAAUUGGAAGUCCAAACAAUCUAAACUGAUACUUCAAAGGGAGCCCACAGCCUUGGGAUUACUUUAGGCAUUUGGGUUUGAGUCUUGGUGCAAAGCCAGAUUUUUAAGAAAUUUAUUUAUAAAAUUGUGCGGGCCGUGAACACCUCGUGUGUGACCCCCUGCUGCUCACAAGCCGUACACCAAUUAACCGUGUAGCAGCGACGGGACAAAUUUGUGGCUUAACCGUGGAGCAGCGACGAGCCAAACUUGUGCCAUGAUUUAAACCCAAAAAAAUAGAUGAUACAUAAACUGAUCACAAAUGUUUUGAUAUAUAUUAUGAAAUGGUUUGUGUGAAGGGUGAUUUUUUCUCAUUUUUCUCGCUUAGAGGGACCAUUAAGAAACAUGAUCCCCGCUGCUACCGGGUUGAAAAAAACAAAACUUCCUAUGGAGAAAAAAUCAUGCUAUUCCGCCUUCUGUAUAAAAAGAGAUGUUAUAUGUUUUUUCCUAUUUUAGUCAUGGAAUUUGUGCAGAAUAUUGUUGUACACUUGGGCACUUAAACAGGAGGAGGCUUUUCAAACAGGCAAAUGUUGGUGCCCAGAUGUUUUAAAAUGCUGCUUGGAAGUCUGGAAGAGUGACUGGAAUCUGCGACAUCUUUGCUGAUGGGGUCUUCGUGGUGCAGUGGUUAGCACACUCAGCUCACAACCAAGAGAGCACGGGGUCGAUUCCCAGGCGGAGUGGAAAAAUUUGGGCGGCUUUUCCGAUACCCUACGCCCCUGUCCACCCAGCAGUGAAUGGGUACCAGGUAUUAAUCGGGGGUUGUGUCCCGUCUCCUGGGGUUUGUUCUCUUCUAUAAUUCCUUCCCAUUCUGUCUCUCUCCGACACAUGACCACAGAUGUUGCGCCCACUAAACAAAACUUUCCAACUUUUUCUCUGGUGAUUCUCUGUACAGGCAGUGGUUCGGAAGGUGUACUAGACUGCCUCCAGCUGACUGUUUGAGGCUCUACCAUGUCUUCCGGUCAUGGUUUUAGGGUUUCCGCCGUCCAUAAGCUUAAGAAAUCUUGUGUACUGUAUUUCCAAGCUUCUGAAAAUGGACCCAAAAUAUAAUACUGAGUGCCUCUCUAAUGUUUAUCUCUAUGUAUAGGGAAGGGAGUUGUAUCAUAGCCUGUUAAGAAUAUUAAGGUGUCUAUUGUGUAUUUCCA